rnacentral:rRNA from 1 species
GGUUAAGCGACUAAGCGUACACGGUGGAUGCCCUGGCAGUCAGAGGCGAUGAAGGACGUGCUAAUCUGCGAUAAGCGUCGGUGAGGUGAUAUGAACCGUUAUAACCGGCGAUUUCCGAAUGGGGAAACCCAGUGUGAUUCGUCACACUAUCAUUAACUGAAUCCAUAGGUUAAUGAGGCGAACCGGGGGAACUGAAACAUCUAAGUACCCCGAGGAAAAGAAAUCAACCGAGAUUCCCCCAGUAGCGGCGAGCGAACGGGGAGCAGCCCAGAGCCUGAAUCAGUGUGUGUGUUAGUGGAAGCGUCUGGAAAGGCGCGCGAUACAGGGUGACAGCCCCGUACACAAAAAUGCACAUGCUGUGAGCUCGAUGAGUAGGGCGGGACACGUGGUAUCCUGUCUGAAUAUGGGGGGACCAUCCUCCAAGGCUAAAUACUCCUGACUGACCGAUAGUGAACCAGUACCGUGAGGGAAAGGCGAAAAGAACCCCGGCGAGGGGAGUGAAAAAGAACCUGAAACCGUGUACGUACAAGCAGUGGGAGCACAGAGCAAUCUGUGUGACUGCGUACCUUUUGUAUAAUGGGUCAGCGACUUAUAUUCUGUAGCAAGGUUAACCGAAUAGGGGAGCCGAAGGGAAACCGAGUCUUAACUGGGCGUUAAGUUGCAGGGUAUAGACCCGAAACCCGGUGAUCUAGCCAUGGGCAGGUUGAAGGUUGGGUAACACUAACUGGAGGACCGAACCGACUAAUGUUGAAAAAUUAGCGGAUGACUUGUGGCUGGGGGUGAAAGGCCAAUCAAACCGGGAGAUAGCUGGUUCUCCCCGAAAGCUAUUUAGGUAGCGCCUCGUGAAUUCAUCUCCGGGGGUAGAGCACUGUUUCGGCAAGGGGGUCAUCCCGACUUACCAACCCGAUGCAAACUGCGAAUACCGGAGAAUGUUAUCACGGGAGACACACGGCGGGUGCUAACGUCCGUCGUGAAGAGGGAAACAACCCAGACCGCCAGCUAAGGUCCCAAAGUCAUGGUUAAGUGGGAAACGAUGUGGGAAGGCCCAGACAGCCAGGAUGUUGGCUUAGAAGCAGCCAUCAUUUAAAGAAAGCGUAAUAGCUCACUGGUCGAGUCGGCCUGCGCGGAAGAUGUAACGGGGCUAAACCAUGCACCGAAGCUGCGGCAGCGACGCUUAUGCGUUGUUGGGUA